CGUGACCCCAGGAUGGGCGGGAU
rnacentral:rRNA from 1 species